rnacentral:rRNA from 1 species
GUACACAAAAAUGCACAUGCUGUGAGCUCGAUGAGUAGGGCGGGACACGUGGUAUCCUGUCUGAAUAUGGGGGGACCAUCCUCCAAGGCUAAAUACUCCUGACUGACCGAUAGUGAACCAGUACCGUGAGGGAAAGGCGAAAAGAACCCCGGCGAGGGGAGUGAAAAAGAACCUGAAACCGUGUACGUACAAGCAGUGGGAGCACGCUUAGGCGUGUGACUGCGUACCUUUUGUAUAAUGGGUCAGCGACUUAUAUUCUGUAGCAAGGUUAACCGAAUAGGGGAGCCGAAGGGAAACCGAGUCUUAACUGGGCGUUAAGUUGCAGGGUAUAGACCCGAAACCCGGUGAUCUAGCCAUGGGCAGGUUGAAGGUUGGGUAACACUAACUGGAGGACCGAACCGACUAAUGUUGAAAAAUUAGCGGAUGACUUGUGGCUGGGGGUGAAAGGCCAAUCAAACCGGGAGAUAGCUGGUUCUCCCCGAAAGCUAUUUAGGUAGCGCCUCGUGAAUUCAUCUCCGGGGGUAGAGCACUGUUUCGGCAAGGGGGUCAUCCCGACUUACCAACCCGAUGCAAACUGCGAAUACCGGAGAAUGUUAUCACGGGAGACACACGGCGGGUGCUAACGUCCGUCGUGAAGAGGGAAACAACCCAGACCGCCAGCUAAGGUCCCAAAGUCAUGGUUAAGUGGGAAACGAUGUGGGAAGGCCCAGACAGCCAGGAUGUUGGCUUAGAAGCAGCCAUCAUUUAAAGAAAGCGUAAUAGCUCACUGGUCGAGUCGGCCUGCGCGGAAGAUGUAACGGGGCUAAACCAUGCACCGAAGCUGCGGCAGCGACACUAUGUGUUGUUGGGUAGGGGAGCGUUCUGUAAGCCUGUGAAGGUGUACUGUGAGGUAUGCUGGAGGUAUCAGAAGUGCGAAUGCUGACAUAAGUAACGAUAAAGCGGGUGAAAAGCCCGCUCGCCGGAAGACCAAGGGUUCCUGUCCAACGUUAAUCGGGGCAGGGUGAGUCGACCCCUAAGGCGAGGCCGAAAGGCGUAGUCGAUGGGAAACAGGUUAAUAUUCCUGUACUUGGUGUUACUGCGAAGGGGGGACGGAGAAGGCUAUGUUGGCCGGGCGACGGUUGUCCCGGUUUAAGCGUGUAGGCUGGUUUUCCAGGCAAAUCCGGAAAAUCAAGGCUGAGGCGUGAUGACGAGGCACUACGGUGCUGAAGCAACAAAUGCCCUGCUUCCAGGAAAAGCCUCUAAGCAUCAGGUAACAUCAAAUCGUACCCCAAACCGACACAGGUGGUCAGGUAGAGAAUACCAAGGCGCUUGAGAGAACUCGGGUGAAGGAACUAGGCAAAAUGGUGCCGUAACUUCGGGAGAAGGCACGCUGAUAUGUAGGUGAAGUCCCUCGCGGAUGGAGCUGAAAUCAGUCGAAGAUACCAGCUGGCUGCAACUGUUUAUUAAAAACACAGCACUGUGCAAACACGAAAGUGGACGUAUACGGUGUGACGCCUGCCCGG